rnacentral:rRNA from 1 species
CAGCAGUGGGGAAUAUUGGACAAUGGGGGGAACCCUGAUCCAGCGACGCCGCGUGAGUGAAGAAGUAUUUCGGUAUGUAAAGCUCUAUCAGCAGGGAAGAAAGAAAUGACGGUACCUGACCAAGAAGCCCCGGCUAACUACGUGCCAGCAGCCGCGGUAAUACGUAGGGGGCAAGCGUUAUCCGGAUUUACUGGGUGUAAAGGGAGCGUAGACGGUAAUGCAAGUCUGGAGUGAAAUGCAGGGGCUCAACCCCUGAACUGCUUUGGAAACUGUAUGACUGGAGUGCAGGAGAGGUAAGUGGAAUUCCUAGUGUAGCGGUGAAAUGCGUAGAUAUUAGGAGGAACACCAGUGGCGAAGGCGGCUUACUGGACUGUAACUGACGUUGAGGCUCGAAAGCGUGGGGAGCAAACAGGAUUAGA